rnacentral:rRNA from 1 species
GACGAACUGUCCAAACGUUGUUCGGAAUCACUGGGCUUAAAGGGCGCGUAGGCGGUCGUGACAAGUCACUUGUGAAAUCUCCGGGCUUAACUCGGAACGGUCAAGUGAUACUGUCGGACUAGAGUACAGAAGGGGCAACUGGAAUUCUCGGUGUAGCGGUGAAAUGCGUAGAUAUCGAGAGGAACACCUGCGGCGAAGGCGGGUUGCUGGGCUGAUACUGACGCUGAGGCGCGAAAGCCAGGGGAGCGAACGGG